GAUCGGCCCGCGUCUGAUUAGGUAGUUGGUGAGGUAACGGCUCACCAAGCCGACGAUCGGUAGCUGGUCUGAGAGGAUGAUCAGCCACACUGGGACUGAGAUACGGCCCAGACUCCUACGGAAGGCAGCAGUGGGGAAUAUUGGACAAUGGGGGCAACCCUGAUCCAGCAAUGCCGCGUGAGUGAUGAAGGCCUUAGGGUUGUAAAGCUCUUUUGGCGGGGACGAUGAUGACGGUACCCGCAGAAUAAGCCCCGGCUAACUUCGUGCCAGCAGCCGCGGUAAUACGAAGGGGGCUAGCGUUGCUCGGAAUUACUGGGCGUAAAGCGCACGUAGGCGGCUUUCUAAGUCGGGGGUGAAAUCCUGGAGCUCAACUCCAGAACUGCCUUCGAUACUGGAGAGCUCGAGUCCGGGAGAGGUGAGUGGAACUGCGAGUGUAGAGGUGAAAUUCGUAGAUAUUCGCAAGAACACCAGUGGCGAAAGCCGCUCACUGGCCCGGUACUGACGCUUGAGUGCGAAAGCGUGGGGAGCAAACAGGAUUAGAUACCCUGCUAGUCCACGCCGUUAAACGAUGGAUGCCUGCCGUUGGCGAGCUUGCCUCGUCAGUGGCGCAACUAACGCUUUAAGCAUCCCGCCUGGGGGA
rnacentral:rRNA from 1 species